CAGCAGCCGCGGGAAUACGAAGGGGGCUAACGUUGCUCGGAAUGACUGGGCGUAAAGGGCGCGUAGGCGGAUUGUUUAGUUAGGCGUGAAAUUCCUGGGCUUAACCUGGGGACUGCGCUUAAUACAGGCAGUCUAGAGUGAGGAAGAGGGUUGUGGAAUUCCCAGUGUAGAGGUGAAAUUCGUAGAUAUUGGGAAGAACACCGGUGGCGAAGGCGGCGACCUGGUCCGUGACUGACGCUGAUGCGCGAAAGCGUGGGGAGCAAACAGGAUUAGAUACCCCCGUAGUCCCUGUCUCUUAUAC
rnacentral:rRNA from 1 species